GUUUUCAGAUGGGCACUCACCCGUUGAAUCCUACGCUUCUGAAACAGUUGCAGACGAUCUGGUUAUUCCUCAAGAGGUAGUCUCAAGAACUCCACUUAAAUGUGCUUAGUUCUGUUGUUCGCUUAAUGAAAAUCACUGGAUCUGUUUGACGUUUUUAAUAGGUACACAUGGCUCUUGCAGUGGUAUCCACCGAAAGUGAGUGUGCCGCUUCUCAACUUGGUGGAUCUUAUUUUCCAGCUCCAAGGCCGGGGUUGGAUCAGGUACUUCGUUAAUCCGUGAGAUUUCGAUUUGGUGUUAUUUAACAAUUAGCUUCGUCAUUUCUGUGUGUCCUCCUCAUGGAUCAACCAUCUACUGAUCAUUGCUGUGAAUUGAUUGUUUUUCAGGAGACAGGUAUUGUGGAUAGCGAAGCAAAUUCUGCAGCUUGGAAUGGGUGAUGCUAUUGACGACUGGCUGCUGGGGAGGAUCCAGUGGUUGCGCCGAGAAGAGGUGGUAGCAUCAGGGAUUCAGUGGGUGAGAGAGGUGAGUCUUGUCUCCUAAUCUUUGACACUUAGUUUGAACUAUCCACGCGUAGGACAUUUUUUCAUCAUGUGAAUGUUGUCAUUGUAGAUAUUAUGGCCAGACGGUAUUUUUGUCACAAAGCACCCCAGAAACCUGCCGGCAGCAAGUGCUGCAAUACUGGAAAGCACAGGGCAUGAGGUGGUAGAAGCAGGCUACGAAUGGCAGCAACGCCCCCCCACCAACUGUUUUGAAUACCGACUCGAGGCUGCAAGACGGGCUAGCAUUGUGCGCGAGACUAUUCUGGGUAAGCAAAUACCCCUUAUUCAUGAAUUCUUUGCUUUUGAAGUCUGCUCACCACCAAUUGACUGAAAAUCAAAGGGCUCAAGUUUCUCGAGGUUCUCACCAAUAGUGUUUCAUUAUCCUGCAGAAAAAGCACCCACCCCUCUUGUGAGCCUUAUUGGCAAGAAGCAGUAUACAAGAUGCGCAAAAGAUAUUUAUUAUUUCUCUCAGGUUUCUCUUCAACCAGGGAAUGAUUGAUAAUUUCAACUGCGAAUUCCUGUUCAUGACUUUAACUUAGUACAACAUCCUUUCAGAGUAGCCCCACGUAACAUUCUGUAGCUGUAGCAUGUACAUCUCGGGUGCCAAUGAAUGCCAUGGUUUUACAGACUAGCAGAUAUUAACCUUUCUAUCUGAAUGGGGUAUGUGGGUGAUGCAGUCUACCGUUUGUGUGAAGCAGCUGACUUACGGCCUCUUGGAGAUGCUCCUGGUGCAGACAUUCCCCGAACUUCACGACUUGAUUCUCAACGUCCGCAGCAGUGUCACUUAAACUUUCAUUUUGGGAUGAUCCAUUGCUCUGUACUUCUAAUUUUAGUUCUACAAGAGGUUAAUGAAGUAA
rnacentral:lncRNA from 1 species